AUACGGAGGGUGCGAGCGUUAAUCGGAAUUACUGGGCGUAAAGCGUGCGUAGGCGGUUUGCUAAGUCAGAUGUGAAAGCCCCGGGCUUAACCUGGGAACUGCAUUUGAUACUGGCAGACUAGAGUAUGAUAGAGGGGGGUAGAAUUCCUGGUGUAGCGGUGAAAUGCGUAGAUAUCAGGAGGAAUACCAGUGGCGAAGGCGGCCCCCUGGAUCAAUACUGACGCUGAGGUACGAAAGCGUGGGGAGCGAACAGGAGUAGAAACCCCAGUAGUCC
rnacentral:rRNA from 1 species